rnacentral:rRNA from 1 species
AGAGUUUGAUCAUGGCUCAGGAUGAACGCUAGCGGCAGGCCUAAUACAUGCAAGUCGAACGGAUGUAGUAAUACAUUAGUGGCGCACGGGUGCGUAACGCGUAUGCAACCUACCUGUUAGAGGGGGAUAGCCCGGGGAAACCCGGAUUAAUACCGCAUAAGAUAGGAGAAUGGCAUCAUUUUCUUAUGAAACAUUUAUGGCUAACAGAUGGGCAUGCGUAAGAUUAGCUAGUUGGUGAGGUAAAGGCUCACCAAGGCAAUGAUCUUUAGGGGUUCUGAGAGGAAGAUCCCCCACACUGGUACUGAGACAGGGACCAGACUCCUACGGGAGGCAGCAGUAGGGAAUAUUGGGCAAUGGUGGCAACACUGACCCAGCCAUGCCGCGUGCAGGAAGAAGGCCUUCUGGGUUGUAAACUGCUUUUGGAAGGGAACAAAACGGGCAUGCGUGCCAACUUGAGUGUACCUUCAGAAUAAGCACCGGCUAACUCCGUGCCAGCAGCCGCGGUAAUACGGAGGGUGCAAGCGUUGUCCGGAUUUAUUGGGUUUAAAGGGUGCGUAGGCGGCCUGUUAAGUCAGGGGUGAAAGACUGCAGCUCAACUGUAGCAGUGCCUUUGAUACUGAUGGGCUUGAGUCUAGAUGAGGCCGGCGGAAUGGGUGGUGUAGCGGUGAAAUGCAUAGAUACCAUCCAGAACACCGAUUGCGAAGGCAGCCGGCUAAACUAGCACUGACGCUGAGGCACGAAAGCGUGGGGAUCGAACAGGAUUAGAUACCCUAGUAGUCC